rnacentral:lncRNA from 1 species
AUGCUGUUGGAGAACACAGAGAGAACACAGAGAGAACAGAGAGCACACACACGAGAGUUUUAGAGAGUUUGCAAAACCUAUUUGUAAACAUUGCUUUGUAACCGAACCUUUCAUACGUAUUAAUACAGUGGUGUUAAUCGGUGAAUAUUGCGUGUUGUGUUCUUGCGUGUUCUAUCUCGGUUUGCCUUUCCGGUUGGAUUCCGCACAACCGGGUUGGUUUGUAUACAAGGAUUAGGCGACUAGAUCCUCCUAGCCGGACCUACAAGUGGUAUCAGAGCCUUGGCUCUUCUCCUUGUUAAAACCGAGGUGUUCUUGUUUGUUUUUCGGGUUUUAAAAGUUUAUAUUUUUCUGGAAAAACAUCUUAAAAUCUGGUUAAAUCUUGUUAUUUUGCUUUGUGUUUGGCUAAAAACUUUGUUAUUUUUCAUGUUUACAUGUUAGCUAUGAGUUUUUGUUAAACACUUUAGCAAAAUAUUGUGUUCGGAGAGUUUCGGUUCACCGGAAAACUUAUUUUUCUGGGUGGUGUUCUUGAAAUCUUCAUAGUGUUCUUUAAAAGGAACACUUUUUGAUCUUUCAAAAAUUGUUUAGAAUUUGUUUGUGUGUUGGAAGUUGUAAACUGAUUAAAAUAUUUGCACCUUACUUGUUUGGUGAAAGCAUCAUGGUUGGUAGCCGAAAGUAGUGUUCUGUUGUGUCAGAAAAGGAUAAGGACCACAAAGUCUACCAACUCUCUGUCCACUUUUUGACGAAACAAAAUUUGAAGAAACACUUUUCUUGACGAAACAGAAUCUUUGAAGAAACAAAAUCUUUGAAGAAACAGAACCUUUGAAGAAACAAAAUUGUUUCAUCAACAACCUUUGAAGAAACACAUCUCUU